rnacentral:tRNA from 1 species
GCCCUGAUAGCUCAGUCCGGCCAGAGCGGCUGCCUUGUAAGCAGCGGGUCGCCGGUUCGAAUCCGGCUUGGGGCU